AUGGUGCUGAGGCAGUUGCUAAAAGACUCAAGGUCUUCAGAGGCUUUAGCAAUGAACUGUUCUCCAGGAUCAAUUAUUGCACUAUUUUUAAUGUUUGGAAGAAAUACUGGAGACUCAGUGGCUCAGACAGAAGGCCAAGUGACCCUCUCAGAAAAGGACUCCCUGACUGUGCGCUGUACCUAUGAAAGCUCAGUAUAUCCUACCCUGUUCUGGUAUGUCCAAUACCCUGGAAAAGGUCCACAGCUCCUCUUCAGAGUCUCAAAAGCCAACGACAAGGGAAGCAACAAAGGGUUUGAAGCCAUGUAUGAUAAAGAAAGCAGCUCCUUCCACUUGGAGAAAGCCUCAGUGGAAGCGUCAGACUCGGCUGUGUACUACUGCGCGCUGGGUGACACAGUGGCAGGAACUGCAGGGGGAGCCGAGCACAAACCCUGA